UUGCUUUUGGGCAGCACAUGUGCUAAAAUUGGAAUGAUACAGAGAAGAUUCGCACAGCCCCUGUGAAAAUCACAUGCAGAUUCAUGAAGAGUUCCAUAUUUUU
ensembl:snRNA U6 U6 spliceosomal RNA